UUUCUGUCUGGCUCUCCUCUUCAAUAAACUGCAACCUUCUUUCUAAACCAGUCGCCAUGUUGUUUAUUCCCGGCUUGGACUGAACCAUAAUGAAGACUUUUCCUUCAACAGUAGAUGUAAGAUGCAAAGGUGGGGUGGCUUCAAUUAUAAUCCCUAAGCCUAAGUAAUGCAGAAGUGAGCACAGUGUUGGAUAGUGGUGGAAUUCAAAUAUGUGAACAACCGGUUCUCUGUGUGGAUGCUGCUUCUGGAAGUCCAUUCUGGGCCCGGGCAACAAAAAAUUAGCUACCAGUUCUGCUGAAGUGGUGCAAACUGGCUGAAUCCUACCACUGGUGUUGGGGCAACUUCUUGGUUUUUCAGCCAUGUGCUUAGUCCCCAUAUACAUCUGAGCUAGUGGCAGAGAUUGCAAAAAUCCAAUAUUGCAGCACGUGAAUAAAUCAUGAUCAGUUCUCUCAAUUGUCUACAUUAUAGCUGUAAUAAAACCACUAAUUUCAGAAACA